rnacentral:tRNA from 1 species
CCGGGGAUUGGGCGGCAGCCGUCGACGUCGAUCGCGAUGUUGUUGCGUGCGGUCAGCGCCCGCUGACAGCUCUUGUCGAUCGUCUUGCCAUCCUUGGU